GACGAACGCUGGCGGCGUGCUUAACACAUGCAAGUCGAACGGCAAGGCCCUGCUUUUGUGGGGUGCUCGAGUGGCGAACGGGUGAGUAACACGUGAGUAACCUGCCCUUGACUUUGGGAUAACUUCAGGAAACUGGGGCUAAUACCGGAUAGGAUCUCCUGCUGCAUGGUGGGGGUUGGAAAGUUUCGGCGGUUGGGGAUGGACUCGCGGCUUAUCAGCUUGUUGGUGGGGUAGUGGCUUACCAAGGCUUUGACGGGUAGCCGGCCUGGGAGGGUGACCGGCGACAUUGGGACUGAGAGACGGACCAGACGGCUACGGGAGGCAGAAGGGGGGAAUAUUGCACAAUGGGCGGAAGCCUGAUGCAGAAACGCCGCGUGUGUGAUGACGGUCUGUGGGGAGAAAACCGCUUUCGCCUGUGACGAAGCGGGAGUGACGGUAAUGGGUAAAGAAGCACCGGCUAACUACGUG
rnacentral:rRNA from 1 species